UCUGACCUCAAAUCAGGUAGGACUACCC
rnacentral:rRNA from 4 species